GGGGUAUAGUAGCAAUACUAGAGACCGGCGCACGGGUGCGUAACGCGUAUGCAAUCUACCUUUUGCAGAGGGAUAGCCCAGAGAAAUUUGGAUUAAUACCUCAUAGUAUAACGACUCGGCAUCGAGAUGUUAUUAAAGUCACAACGGCAAAAGAUGAGCAUGCGUCCCAUUAGUUAGUUGGUAAGGUAACGGCUUACCAAGACUACGAUGGGUAGGGGUCCUGAGAGGGAGAUCCCCCACACUGGUACUGAGACACGGACCAGACUCCUACGGGAGGCAGCAGUGAGGAAUAUUGGACAAUGGGCGCAAGCCUGAUCCAGCCAUGCCGCGUGCAGGAUGACGGUCCUAUGGAUUGUAAACUGCUUUUGCACAGGAAGAAACAACGCUACGUGUAGCGUCUUGACGGUACUGUGAGAAUAAGGAUCGGCUAACUCCGUGCCAGCAGCCGCGGUAAUACGGAGGAUCCAAGCGUUAUCCGGAAUCAUUGGGUUUAAAGGGUCCGUAGGCGGUCUUAUAAGUCAGUGGUGAAAUCUCCCCGCUCAACGGGGAAACGGCCAUUGAUACUGUAGGACUUGAAUUAUUAGGAAGUAACUAGAAUAUGUAGUGUAGCGGUGAAAUGCUUAGAGAUUACAUGGAAUACCAAUUGCGAAGGCAGGUUACUACUAAUGGAUUGACGCUGAUGGACGAAAGCGUGGGUAGCGAACAGGAUUAGAUACCCUGGUAGUCCACGCCCUAAACGAUGUCAACUGGGUUGUUGGGGGCAACCUCAGUGGCUAAGCG
rnacentral:rRNA from 1 species